rnacentral:lncRNA from 1 species
AAUUGUACACCAGCACAAGCUAUGAUGUGUUACUUUAGAUGCAUAGUAUAUAUUUUUAAAACUAUAUAUCUCUUUCAUUAUGUCAUUUGCUAUUUUAUCUUUAAAAUAUCUUUUAUCAUUGGCUCUAUUUAGUCGCGAUAUACGCAUUCAUCAUAAGGACACACAUUUUAAAGUUUUAGUAACAAUGCGGUGUUUUAACGAUUUGCCUAAUGUGUCACAUACAAAAGGUAGUAUGAUACAAUUCUUAUUGAAUACAGUAGUCAUAACCAAUAGAAAAUUAAAAAAAACACACACAUUUAUCUUAAAUUAACUUAUAAAAUAAAAG